GUGUCUGUGGCUCAGAUGGUAGAGCACCCGGCUUUUAACCGGGUGGGCGUGGGUUCAAGUCCCACCAGGCACACCA
rnacentral:tRNA from 1 species